CCUACGGGUGACAGCAGUGAGGAAUAUUGGUCAAUGGUCGGGAGACUGAACCAGCCAAGCCGCGUGAGGGAUGAAGGUACAGAGUAUCGUAAACCUCUUUUGUCAGGGAACAAAGGCGGGGACGUGUCCCCGGAUGAGUGUACCUGAAGCAAAAGCAUCGGCUAACUCCGUGCCAGCAGCCGCGGUAAUACGGAGGAUGCGAGCGUUAUCCGUAUUUAUUGGGGUUAAGGGGUGCGCAGGCGGUCUGUUAAGUCAGCGGUCAAAGCCCGGGGCUCACCCCCGGCCCGCCGUUGAAACUGGCAGGCUCGAGUUGGAGAGAAGUAGGCGGAAUGCGCGGUGUAGCGAUGAAAUGCAUAGAUAUCGCGCAGAACUCCGAUUGCGAAGGCAGCAUGCCGGCUCCACACUGACGCUGAGGCACGAAAGCGUGGGUAUCGAACAGGAUUAGAUACCCCUGUAGUC
rnacentral:rRNA from 1 species